rnacentral:rRNA from 1 species
GACGAACGCUGGCGGCGUGCUUAACACAUGCAAGUCGAACGAUGACCCAGGGCUUGCCCUGGUGAUCAGUGGCGAACGGGUGAGUAACACGUGGGGCAACCUGCCCCUGACUUCGGGAUAACUCCUCGAAAGAGGAGCUAAUACCGGAUACGACCACUUCGGACAUCCGAUGGUGGUGGAAAGUUUUUCGGUCAGGGAUGGGCCCGCGGCCUAUCAGCUAGUUGGUGGGGUAAUGGCCUACCAAGGCGACGACGGGUAGCCGGCCUGAGAGGGCGACCGGCCACACUGGGACUGAGGACACGGCCCAGACUCCUACGGGAGGCAGCAGUGGGGAAUAUUGCGCAAUGGGCGAAAGCCUGACGCAGCGACGCCGCGUGAGGGA